CCAACUCUUGAUGAUCCAUAUGAAAAGGUGGCAGUGACUCAGGGAAGGUGGGUGAUGCUGUGAGGGAAAUGAGCCAUUUACAAAACGAAGGUCUCCCCGCAGGCGGAGGCCAAGCCACAGAGGAGAACGAAUCCCUCUUUGCUUCAUGGACAUGGCUCUUUCUCUGAACAAUCUGUGCUCCGGACCAGGACAUUCCUGUUAGCGGUGUCCUGUGGGACCCUAGUUGUCCCACAUUUACGCCUGUGGGCCUUGCUGCUGGGGAUGACACAGUCUGCUUACCAGGGACCUGACCCAGAGAGGUACAAGAGGACAGUCGUCUACACAGGGCCCCUCUUUGCACGAGGCCACACUUUAAGGGUAGUUGAAUCCAUGGAUCUGAAACGUACAGAUACAGAGGACCAACUGUAUGCUUUCUAAUCUUUAUAACUGAGGCUCAUGACUGGGAAAUGGAAGGGGAGGAUCCAAAUUCAGACCCAUGUGACUGGCAUACUCCAUCCAUUGUGUGACACCUUUCUCCUUUCUCCGAGAAAGAUAGGGAAAGAGCUAGAGACAAUCUGGUGGCCUUUGAUACCCCCUUUGAUAGAAUGUGGGCCUGGGCUCACAUGGUGUCAGGUGCUUACCCCAUUCUAUCCAUUCUUGCCGCAUGGUCUGAUGGGAAGAAUGCAGGGGAUACACCAUGUUGAAGGGCCCAGGGUUUAGCUUCUGUCCCCACCAGUGAAAUGUGCAACCCUGGGCAAACAUAGUGUCAACUGUAAAAUCAGGAUAAUAAUACCUACUCAAUUUAUGUCAAAACAGAAGGAAUGAGUUUACAAACGAUGCUCCCUGGAAGCCUAGGAUGGAGUUUCUCAAGCUUCGGAAUGCAUAAAAACCACCUUGUGUGGGCUUGUUAAAAUGCAGAUGCCCAGGCCUCAACUCCGAGAUUGGAAUCAGCGGGGCAAUAUGAAGCCACGGAAUCUGCAUUCUGUGGAUGAGAGACAGCAGGUGUGGAGAAGCCCGGACCUAGGCUGCAUGGCGGCGCCUCCAGGGUGGGUGGGAAGCGAGGGAGUCCAUGGGUGGGAUUCAGAGUCUCUCAGCCCAGCUUCACCUAGAACUGUUCUGUUUGUAGCUCCAUUAUAUAUUGAGGUUUCAAGUAAGAUUUCAUUUAAAGGACGAUUACAUGAUUUAAACAUUAAAAAAAAAUGUUAAAGAUUGCAAUGCAUCGCCACACAUGAAAAUGCUUUGGGUAAGUGAAAGGUGCUCUCCAGAUGAGAGCAAUUUUACUAAAACUGUGGCCAUCUGAAACCCUCUGGGAAUGAAUCAUUCUGGAGAGCCUAAUCUUCCUGAUAACAUUAAAA
rnacentral:lncRNA from 10 species